UCAAUUCUAUAAAGCAAUACAUAUUGCAGCCUCCAUAGUGAUUCUCUCUCCUACAUGGCACUCCCACAAUCCUUUAUUUCAUAUUAUCUCAAAUGCUGUUUCCUCACGCCUAGCUUCAGCCUUCACAUCUUUUUUCCCACAAAUUUUACACAGCCACGCUUCAGCCGUUACAUCUCUCAAAACUUCUCUCCCAAUUUGAGUUUCCAUCAAUCUUGCCACAAAUUAACCCUCAAAAUCCAUCUUUUACCGUUCAGAAUUCUCCUUUCUCCCUUUCAGUUUUUCAUUCUCAUUCGCUAAUCAGUCUUUAUCGUUAAUCAAUUUCUUCAAUAAUCAGCGCCCAAUCAGCUCCAAUUAGAAGCCUAUAGUCAGUCCACACUUCCAUUCUCAUCACUGUUAAUGAUAUUAACCCGCGUGACUAUCAGUCUAUCACCUAUCCCUAACAGAGCUAGGGUAGAAAAUUCGGGUGCGCGGCGAUAUUGACCGGCAUUGCUAUUACUCAGUCGUCUCCUCCGACUCCCCACCCCUCCGCUCCCUCGCAGACGCCCUCAGUACAUUCCAGCAGAGAAUAAAUGCAGAAUAUGUGGAGGAAACCACUUUACAAAUUUUAAUAUGGCAGGAAAAUAGAGGGACUUUGGAGGAGUGGAGAAGGGAGAUGAUUAGGUUACACGGCUUGAUCCUGGCAGAUUUUUCAAGAUAGUCCUUUUAGGGAGUUUGAGUUCAGGCAGUAUUUAUUUACCUGUCAAGCUAAGGUAUGGAAGUUAAUCAUAGACAUGCUUAGGUUUGUUUCGUAAUAUGUGUCAUGUAUGCCAUGAUGCUCUAUCAUAAUACAGGCUUCCCUUCUAUUAUUAUGUUUUUGUACUACAAUAUUUUUACAUUAAGAAUUAUGUUGUGGAUAUCUCAAUGAAUUGGUUGUUCUAUGUGACAUAUUCUCUUUGUUUUUCUCUAAAAAAAAUUAUUGCUGCUUUCAUUAUCUUUUGCUUUAACCUUCACGCAUGCUCCAAAAAGGGUUUCUGUGACUUCAGCUUCUCUUACAUCAAUGGGUUAUUCGUUCAUAAUCAGCUUCUCAGGGGCAUUAGCUUUGCAUGAGGUAGUAACAUUGAGUUCUGAUGGAUUCUUAUCUUAAUUACAUUGUGUUGAAUUUUUCACCUUUUAUGUGUUGGGUUCUCUCAGAGUAUGUUGUCAUUUUGUUUGCGUGAAGUUUGGGUAAUCACAGCUUGCUUGGCGUUAAUCGGUGCAACUGCUUCUAACUAUGAAGAUGGAUUAGCAGCACCUGAUGUUGAAAAUGAGUUUUACUUGGUCCAAGGGGAGUUAUAUACUUUGUGCCAUACAAAGGUAACAAUGCAAUUUCAUAAGAGUAGUUUUAGAAAACUGAGAGUGUAUAGCAUCUCUCUGUUUCCUUGCCAAUACAAGCGCAGAGAAUGUACAUUUGCCUGGAAGUUGGUCAUGAAAUGCUGAUAUUUGCUAGCAUACUGUUUUAAUUUGCCUCGAGAUUGGUCUUAAAUUUUUUAAAAUAAAUUCACUUUCAUUUA